CUAGCUAAUAACAACUAUAUCAGGUAAUCAUCAUUAUCCCCCAUGUACCUCUAGCUAAUAACAACUAUAUCAGGUAAUCAUCAUUAUCCCCCAUGUACCUCUAGCUAAUAACAACUAUAUCAGGUAAUCAUCAUUAUCCCCCAUGUACCUCUAGCUAAUAACAACUAUAUCAGGUAAUCAUCAUUAUCCCCCAUGUACCUCUAGCUAAUAACAACUAUAUCAGGUAAUCAUCAUUAUCCCCCAUGUACCUCUAGCUAAUAACAACUAUAUCAGGUAAUCAUCAUUAUCCCCCAUGUACCUCUAGCUAAUAACAACUAUAUCAGGUUAUCAUCAUUAUCCCCCAUGUACCUCUAGCUAAUAACAACUAUAUCCGGUGAUCAUCAUUAUCCCCCAUGUACCUCUAGCUAAUAACAACUAUAUCAGGUAAUCAUCAUUAUCCCCCGUGUACCUCUAGCUAAUAACAACUAUAUCCGCUAAUCAUCAUUAUCCCCCAUGUACCUCUAGCUAAUAACAACUAUAUCAGGUAAUCAUCAUUAUCCCCCAUGUACCUCUAGCUAAUAACAACUAAAUCAGGUAAUCAUCAUUAUUCCCCAUGUACCUCUAGCUAAUAACAACUAUAUCAGGUAAUCAUCAUUAUCCCCCAUGUACCUCUAGCUAAUAACAACUAUAUCAGGUAAUCAUCAUUAUCCCCCAUGUACCUCUAGCUAAUAACAACUAAAUCAGGGAAUCAUCAUUAUCCCCCAUGUAUCUAUAGCUAAUAACAACUAUAUAAGGUAAUCAUCAUUAUCCCCCAUGUACCUCUAGCUAAUAACAACUAUAUCCGGUGAUCAUCAUUGUACCUCUAGCUAAUAACGUGGAUAUGGAUCAUACCGGGUUCAAUUCCAUUCCAAUUCAGAAAGUGCAUUGAAGAGAAUUGGAGUUGGAAUUUCAGAAUACUUCCUGAACUGACUGGAAUUUAAAUGAAAUUGACCCCAAACCCUGGGUCAAAGAUAAAAAUGGAGCCAGUGCACAAUACAAUUCCAUAGUGAACCUUUGUGGCUCAGUAAGUAAGACCAAAGUUGUGGGUUCAAUUCCCACAAGGAUCACCAUACAAAACGUUUAUGCACUCACUGUACUGUAAGUUGGUUUGGACAAAAGUGUCUGCUAAGUGUGUACUGAAGGUUUACUUUCAACUACUGAUAUCUGGUGGUCUUACCUACCUUGGAUAUUACAUUUACAUUUACGUCAUUUAGCAGACGCUCUUAUCCAGAGCGACUUAC